UACGAAGGGGGCUAGCGUUGCUCGGAAUGACUGGGCGUAAAGGGCGCGUAGGCGGAUGACACAGUCAGAUGUGAAAUUCCCGGGCUUAACCUGGGGGCUGCAUUUGAUACGUGUUGUCUAGAGUGAGGAAGAGGGUUGUGGAAUUUCCAGUGUAGAGGUGAAAUUCGUAGAUAUUGGGAAGAACACCGGUGGCGAAGGCGGCAACCUGGUCCUUGACUGACGCUGAGGCGCGAAAGCGUGGGGAGCAAACAGG
rnacentral:rRNA from 1 species